AACGAACGCUGGCGGCAUGCCUAACACAUGCAAGUCGAACGGAUGGUUUCGGCCAUCAGUGGCGCACGGGUGAGUAACGCGUGGGAAUCUGCCCAGCAGUGGGGGAUAACCUCUGGAAACGGAGGCUAAUACCGCAUACGCCCCUCGGGGGAAAGGCUUGCUGCUGCUGGAGGAGCCCGCGUCGGAUUAGGUAGUUGGUGGGGUAACGGCCUACCAAGCCUGUGAUCCGUAGCUGGUCUGAGAGGAUGAUCAGCCACACUGGGACUGAGACACGGCCCAGACUCCUACGGGAGGCAGCAGUGGGGAAUAUUGGACAAUGGGGGCAACCCUGAUCCAGCAAUGCCGCGUGAGUGAUGAAGGCCUUAGGGUUGUAAAGCUCUUUCACCCACGACGAUAAAUGACGGUAGUGGGAGAAGAAGCCCCGGCUAACUUCGUG
rnacentral:rRNA from 1 species